ACAUUAACAAAAUAUGAAUGAAGACAGCACACUCCCCGCUUGACAUCAGCCGAUGUCACUACUAGAGUCCUCAACAGAUAACAGUAGGAUUAGUUCGGAAGUAGGUCUGAUAAACAGUUUGGUCUCAUUUUGUUUGAAAAUCUUGACCUCAACUUUACGGACAUGUCCGUCUU